rnacentral:rRNA from 1 species
UCCGAAGGGGGCUAGCGUUGCUCGGAAUCACUGGGCGUAAAGGGUGCGUAGGCGGGUCUUUAAGUCAGGGGUGAAAUCCUGGAGCUCAACUCCAGAACUGCCUUUGAUACUGAGGAUCUUGAGUUCGGGAGAGGUGAGUGGAACUGCGAGUGUAGAGGUGAAAUUCGUAGAUAUUCGCAAGAACACCAGUGGCGAAGGCGGCUCACUGGCCCGAUACUGACGCUGAGGCACGAAAGCGUGGGGAGCAAACAGG